rnacentral:rRNA from 1 species
GUGCCAGCCGCCGCGGUAAUACCGGCAGCUCAAGUGAUGUCCCAUAUUAUUGGGCCUAAAGCGUCCGUAGCUGGCCGACCAAGUCUCCCGGGAAAUCCACCCGCCCAACGGGUGGGCGUCCGGUAGAAACUGGCCGGCUUGGAAUCGGAAGGCUCAGAGAGUACGUCCGGGGUAGGAGUGAAAUCCUGUAAUCCUGGACGGACCACCGGUGGCGAAAGCGCCUUCGGAAGACGGAUCCGACAGUGAGGGACGAAAGCGAGGGUCUCGAACCGGAUUAGAAACCCUAGUAUCC